rnacentral:rRNA from 1 species
GACGAACGCUGGCGGCGUGCUUAACACAUGCAAGUCGAACGGUGAAGGGACUGGUUUUGCUGGUCCUGGAUGAGUGGCGAACGGGUGAGUAACACGUGAGUAACCUGCCCCCUUCUUCUGGAUAACCGCAUGAAAGUGUGGCUAAUACGGGAUAUUCUGGGUCUGUCGCAUGGUGGGCCUGGGAAAGAUUGCGCCUUUUUUGGUGUUUUUGGUGGGGGAUGUGCUCGCGGCCUAUCAGCUUGUUGGUGGGGUGAUGGCCUACCAAGGCGGUGACGGGUAGCCGGACUGGGAGGGUGGACGGUCACACUGGGACUGAGACACGGCCCAGACUACUAAGGGAGGCAGCAGUGGGGAAUAUUGCACAAUGGGCGCAAGCCUGGUGCAGCGACGCCGCGUGAGGGAUGGAGGCCUUCGGGUUGUGAACCUCUUUCGCCAGUGAAGCAGGCCUGCCUCUUUUUGUGGGUGGGUUGACGGUAGCUGGAUAAGAAGCGCCGGCUAACUACGUG